CACUGCAGCAUAAAACGCACACAGCAACUGUGAAACCGCCUCUUGGAUACACUGUGGUGAAAGCUCUGCAAGUUCCCAAGGCUCAUCUAGACCUACGACAAAGUGGAAUUACUUUUGUGAGUCAUUUUGGAGAAAAAGAUCAGGAGAAUGUCCACUGGGGAGGCAUUUUUGUGAUGCAGAUGUAUUACUCUUUUGAAUGCAUAUGGUUUUGAGAAGCCAAACUCUUCACUUAAGUGUCCCCAGCAACUCACCGGAACUAAGUUCCUCAUCACCGAAAUCCGACCAGAACUGGGCUCACGGGACCAAGUGGGAGUGUGGCUCCUGGACGUGUUCUCAUGUCAACCAGACCACCAGGGGGAGGCUGUUUACCAGGAAAGUUGUUAUAGUACGGGACCUCAGGCAGGGGAGCAGCCUCGUCAUCCUCUUCCUCCCAUGCAGAGCCAUCAAAUGGAGCCAUUCUAGUCAUCUGAUGAGUGGAGGGAGGAGGCGGGCAGGAGGUGGAAGAGCCACACGGACGCCGUUUCAUUCUAGCCGGUUACAAACUUAACUUUAAAGAGUGGACAGUUAGAGCUGUAUACUUGCUCACUUGAACUUUAUUGUAAACUUCAGCAGCAGGUACAAUCAUCAUUACUAACACUGACCUGGCUCACUAUCUGUCAUGUGUCUCCAUUAAACCAUUCCCACUUGUGUUAAAGGUUCCUACCUUUAUAUUAAAAUCCUAUUGUAACAGACGCUAGCUUCUUUCUGGAAUUCAAUCGUGUUUCUCACCUUCUUUAUCAAAAGUUCUGGCACUUGCAACUUUCUUUGGCAUCAUGGUGGCUUAUUUUGCAGUUGUAAUAAAAAAAUUUUAAAAAACCCCACACAGAACACUACCAGAAAUACGCAGUGUGCUUGAACGCCUCAUCAGUGCUUAUUAGAGGGCCGAAAGGAGACAGAAACUGUGUU